rnacentral:rRNA from 1 species
UACGAAGGGGGGCUAGCGUUGCUCGGAAUCACUGGGCGUAAAGCGCACGUAGGCGGAUUCCUAAGUCGGUGGUGAAAUCCUGGAGCUCAACUCCAGAACUGCCUCCGAUACUGAGAGUCUCCGAGUCCGGGAGAGGUGAGUGGAACUGCGAGUGUAGAGGUGAAAUUCGUAGAUAUUCGCAAGAACACCAGUGGCGAAGGCGGCUCACUGGCCCGGUACUGACGCUGAGGCGCGAAAAGCUAGGGGGAGCAAACAGGG